ACUACACUCUUUAGGUCAGAUAUUCUGGCAAAUGUUUUCUUAACCUACAGAGAUCUGAAUGUUCCUACAUUUAUUUUCUGAGCAUAUAAGGACUCUGCCAUUCAUAUGUCCACCUGUAGAUCCAGAGGGAUUUCCGAAUUGACACCAGCUACAAAAUCCCCACCAAACACAACCUGGCUCCAAAAAUAAAUUUGUGAGAUGAAUGAAAUGAAAGGCAAGAUGCACAGCCAUGUGACCUUGAAUUCUGGAAGACCUUGAGUUCUGUGUUGAAUGAGACAAUUUUGAACACUUCGUGGGUAACAAGGAUACGUUGACAUUCCUCCCUGAAAGAUGAAUGAUUGCAAAAUUCGUAGCUCCUAGUAAGGAAGACAAACGCUGUGAAACUUCUUUUCCUCAUCCAGCUACUGUGGGAAAACUGCGUGCUAAACUCCUACUUCUUUGUAAGUGAAGUACUCAGAGGAGACUGCAGAUAUUUCCGUAAUCCAGCCAGUCAGCUCCAGUUACUGAGGGCAUUACUUGCUUCGUCCUUCUCUGGUUCCCUUCUGUUUAAAUCUACUGUGGAGAAGCCACUUCGCCACUGUCUGUACUGGGACCUCCAAUGUCAGUGUGACGUAACCUGACUCUCAAUGCUC
rnacentral:lncRNA from 1 species